rnacentral:rRNA from 1 species
GACGAACGCUGGCGGCGUGCCUAAUACAUGCAAGUUGAGCGCUGAAGGUUGGUACUUGUACCAACUGGAUGAGCAGCGAACGGGUGAGUAACGCGUGGGGAAUCUGCCUUUGAGCGGGGGACAACAUUUGGAAACGAAUGCUAAUACCGCAUAAAAACUUUAAACACAAGUUUUAAGUUUGAAAGAUGCAAUUGCAUCACUCAAAGAUGAUCCCGCGUUGUAUUAGCUAGUUGGUGAGGUAAAGGCUCACCAAGGCGAUGAUACAUAGCCGACCUGAGAGGGUGAUCGGCCACAUUGGGACUGAGACACGGCCCAAACUCCUGCGGGAGGCAGCAGUAGGGAAUCUUCGGCAAUGGACGAAAGUCUGACCGAGCAACGCCGCGUGAGUGAAGAAGGUUUUCGGAUCGUAAAACUCUGUUGGUAGAGAAGAACGUUGGUGGGAGUGGAAAGCUCAUCAAGUGACGGUAACUACCCAGAAAGGGACGGCUAACUACGUG